rnacentral:rRNA from 1 species
CAGCAGCCGCGGUAAUACGAAGGGGGCUAGCGUUGUUCGGAUUUACUGGGCGUAAAGGGCGCGUAGGCGGACUGAUAAGUCAGGGGUGAAAUCCCAAGGCUCAACCUUGGAACUGCCUUUGAUACUGUUUGUCUUGAGUUCGAGAGAGGUAAGUGGAACUGCGAGUGUAGAGGUGAAAUUCGUAGAUAUUCGCAAGAACACCAGUGGCGAAGGCGGCUUACUGGCUCGAAACUGACGCUGAGGUGCGAAAGCGUGGGGAGCAAACAGGAUUAGAUACCCCAGUAGUCCCUGUCUCUUAUAA